rnacentral:rRNA from 1 species
AACGAACGCUGGCGGCAGGCCUAACACAUGCAAGUCGAGCGAGGACUUCGGUUCUAGCGGCGGACGGGGGAGUAACGCGUGGGAAGGUGCCCUUCUCUACGGAAUAGCCCUGGGAAACUGGGAGUAAUACCGUAUACGCGCUAAUGGGGGAAGAUUUAUCGGAGAAGGAGCAGCCCGCGUGGGAUUAGGUAGUUGGGGGGGUAAUGGCCUACCAAGCCGACGAUUCAUAGCUGGUUUGAGAGGAUGAUCAGCCACACUGGGACUGAGACACGGCCCAGACUCCUACGGGAGGCAGCAGUGGGGAAUCUUAGACAGUGGGGGCAGCCCUGAUCGAGCCCUGCCGCGUGAGUGAUGAAGGCCUUAGGGUUGUAAAGCUCUUUUAGCUGGGAAGAUAAUGACGGUACCAGCAGAAGAAGCCCCGGCUAACUCCGUG